GGCGGCGUGCCUAAUACAUGCAAGUAGAACGCUGAAGAGAGGAGCUUGCUCUUCUUGGAUGAGUUGCGAACGGGUGAGUAACGCGUAGGUAACCUGCCUUGUAGCGGGGGAUAACUAUUGGAAACGAUAGCUAAUACCGCAUAACAAUGGAUGACACAUGUCAUUUAUUUGAAAGGGGCAAUUGCUCCACUACAAGAUGGACCUGCGUUGUAUUAGCUAGUAGGUGAGGUAAUGGCUCACCUAGGCGACGAUACAUAGCCGACCUGAGAGGGUGAUCGGCCACACUGGGACUGAGACACGGCCCAGACUCCUACGGGAGGCAGCAGUAGGGAAUCUUCGGCAAUGGGGGCAACCCUGACCGAGCAACGCCGCGUGAGUGAAGAAGGUUUUCGGAUCGUAAAGCUCUGUUGUAAGUCAAGAACGGGUGUGAGAGUGGAAAGUUCACACUGUGACGGUAGCUUACCAGAAAGGGACGGCUAACUACGUGCCAGCAGCCGCGGUAAUACGUAGGUCCCGAGCGUUGUCCGGAUUUAUUGGGCGUAAAGCGAGCGCAGGCGGUUUGAUAAGUCUGAAGUUAAAGGCUGUGGCUCAACCAUAGUUCGCUUUGGAAACUGUCAAACUUGAGUGCAGAAGGGGAGAGUGGAAUUCCAUGUGUAGCGGUGAAAUGCGUAGAUAUAUGGAGGAACACCGGUGGCGAAAGCGGCUCUCUGGUCUGUAACUGACGCUGAGGCUCGAAAGCGUGGGGAGCGAACAGGAUUAGAUACCCUGGUAGUCCACGCCGUAAACGAUGAGUGCUAGGUGUUGGAUCCUUUCCGGGAUUCAGUGCCGCAGCUAACGCAUUAAGCACUCCGCCUGGGGAGUACGACCGCAAGGUUGAAACUCAAAGGAAUUGACGGGGGCCCGCACAAGCGGUGGAGCAUGUGGUUUAAUUCGAAGCAACGCGAAGAACCUUACCAGGUCUUGACAUCCCGAUGCUAUUUCUAGAGAUAGAAAGUUACUUCGGUACAUCGGUGACAGGUGGUGCAUGGUUGUCGUCAGCUCGUGUCGUGAGAUGUUGGGUUAAGUCCCGCAACGAGCGCAACCCCUAUUGUUAGUUGCCAUCAUUCAGUUGGGCACUCUAGCGAGACUGCCGGUAAUAAACCGGAGGAAGGUGGGGAUGACGUCAAAUCAUCAUGCCCCUUAUGACCUGGGCUACACACGUGCUACAAUGGUUGGUACAACGAGUUGCGAGUCGGUGACGGCGAGCUAAUCUCUUAAAGCCAAUCUCAGUUCGGAUUGUAGGCUGCAACUCGCCUACAUGAAGUCGGAAUCGCUAGUAAUCGCGGAUCAGCACGCCGCGGUGAAUACGUUCCCGGGCCUUGUACACACCGCCCGUCACACCACGAGAGUUUGUAACACCCGAAGUCGGUGAGGUAACCUUUUGGAGCCAGCCGCCUAAGGUGGGACAGAUGAUGGGGGAAGUCGA
rnacentral:rRNA from 1 species